GUGGUGGCUCAAUGGUAGAGCACUUACCUAGCAUGUGUGAGGCACUGGGUUCGAUUCUCAGCAUUACA
rnacentral:tRNA from 1 species